rnacentral:rRNA from 1 species
CCUACGGGGGGCUGCAGUGGGGGAUAUUGCACAAUGGGGGAAACCCUGAUGCAGCGACGCCGCGUGUGGGAAGACGGUCCUCUGGAUUGUAAACCACUGUCCCCAGGGACGGAGAUGACGGUACCUGGGGAGGAAGCUCCGGCUAACUACGUGCCAGCAGCCGCGGUAAUACGUAGGGCGCGAGCGUUGUCCAGAAUUACUGGGGGUAAAGGGAGCGUAGGCGGGGAUGCAAGUUGGGUGUCAAAACUACCGGCUCAACUGGUAGUCGCACUCAAAACUGCAGCGCUUGAGUGAAGUAGAGGCGGGCGGAAUUCCUAGUGUAGCGGUGAAAUGCGUAGAGAUUAGGAGGAACACCAGUGGCGAAGGCGGCCUGCUGGGCUUUUACUAACGCUGAGGCUCGAAAGUGUGGGGAGCAAACAGGAUUAGAUACCCGUGUAGUC